rnacentral:snoRNA from 2 species
AUGCAGACUUGAACCCGGCCUGAGUCGUGAUGUAGACCCGUAAGGGUCUAU